CCUCAUUUUUCCUCUUCCGCACAGCACCUAUUUCCACCCGAACCAUUCAUAGGAACUGUUUCUCAUCCAGCCUCUGCAAACUUGAACGCUUUGAUAUAAAUAUUGGACAUGAUUCCUAUAUGAGAGGAAGAAUCCACUGUUGUGAUGAAGCAAAGUGUGAAGCACAGCAAUUUCCUGGACUGCCCCUCUCCUUUCCAAAUGGAUACCACUGCCCUGGCAUUCUUGGUUUAUUCUCAGUGGACAGCUCUGAACAUGAAGCUAUUUGCAGAGGAA